rnacentral:sRNA from 1 species
UCACCCUGGUAAAGGGUAAGAAGCGCGUUU